CUUUUAUUCCUGAAGUCAUCUUAAUUUUUCAUGAAUUUCAAGAGAUUGUGUUGCCAUUAUUAUGUCCCAGGCUGUCUCAUCCAAAGGAAGAAGCAUGGAACACAUUGGAAGUGAGAAGGACACUUAAAAUAUACAAGGGCAUAAGAGAAGAGUCUUCAGUUCUAAGUUCCAGUGGCUUUUUAAGGAACCGUAGUAGCAAUGAAGGUUGAUGCUAAUUGUAUCCUUAUCCAGUUUUAACAACCUGUUUUCUCUGCUACAGAUCCUUUUUUCCCCUUCAAGAAGAAUCCCUUUGUUAAAAAGGGAACAUGGCUUUUCUUUGUGUAUGAAUGAUUUUUAGCUCAGCGGAUAGUAGGGUUAUCCAUUAAGAAUAACAUACAAAUAUAAACGUACCAUGU